rnacentral:tRNA from 1 species
ACGGACGUAGCUUAGUUGGUAGAGCAUCAGAUUGUGGCUCUGAGGGUCGUGGGUUCAAAUCCCAUCGUCCGUC